rnacentral:tRNA from 1 species
AAUGGUCCGGUAGUUCAGUUGGUUAGAAUGCCUGCCUGUCACGCAGGAGGUCGCGGGUUCGAGUCCCGUCCGGACCG